rnacentral:rRNA from 1 species
UGGGAAGCAGGUUAAUAUUCCUGCGCCGCGUAUGGAGGACGUUGUGUGGAUUGCAGUCGGGGUGUCGGAAAUCCCCGUGCCGCAAGGCCGAGUCCUUAGAUGACGAAGCUGUUUGAAGCAUAACCAAGAAAAGCCCAUACAUUAGCGACCGUACUAAAACUGACACAGGUAGGCGGGGCGAGUAGCCUCAGGCGCUCGGGAGAACGCUGUUUAAGGAACUCUGCAAAAUGGCCCCGUAACUUCGGGAUAAGGGGUGCCAUCGCGAGAUGGCCACAGUAAAUCGGCUUCAUCGACUGUUUACUAAAAACACAGGACUCUGC